AUGGAAAAAAGCCAGCAGAUAAAUCAUCUGGCCCUCCUCCCCUAUGACAGACUGUUCUGAGCCACAGUGUUUCACAUGUCUUCCUGGAGAUGUCCCACAUGACUUGAGCAACCAGCUGGAGCUCUGGAGAAACUGUGGCCAUCCUGAGGAAGAAACAGGCCCAGAGAAGUUGGGUAACUCAUCAAAGGUCACAGAGCUAAGAGUGGCAGAGUCAGGCUUGGAGCCCAGGAAGUCUGGUUUUGAAUUUCAUGCUUCUAACCUGAGCACUGUACUGCUUGGUGGAGUUCUCUGCUAGUCCUACCUUUCAGGCAGAGGUGAUGCAGCAAGAAAGCUGCCACCAGAUGCAGCCCCUUGAUCUCGGACUGCCCAGCCUCUAGAACUGAGUUGAAGAGCAAUUCCCUCCAGUUUCCAUUAGAAAUGCUUCUUCUUCCAUAUCAAAUAUUGUGAGAUAGCCUGAAACACCUUUCAACACUUUACUACCCUUCUCCAAAAUUCAACAGAUAUGAUUUCCACGGACUUUACUCACAGGGGCUCCAGUAGAAGAGGAAGAGGCUUGGGUUUCAUUGAAGGUGGCCUGAGACAUCUGUGAGGAACAGCACUUUUAGAGACAUAUCCCCUACAAAUAAAGCAUCAGAAUUAUUAUCCUAA
rnacentral:lncRNA from 1 species